UACAGAGGUCUCAAGCGUUGUUCGGAUUCAUUGGGCGUAAAGCGUGUGUAGGCGGAUUGGUAAGUACCUUGUGAAAUCCCACGGCUCAACCGUGGAACUGCUUGGUAUACUGCCUGUCUUGAGCCACUUAGGGGCUGUCGGAACAAGCGGUGGAGCGGUGAAAUGCGUAGAUAUCGCUUGGAACGCCAACGGUGAAAACAGACAGCUGGGAGUGUGCUGACGCUGAGACACGAAAGCCAGGGGAGCGAACGGG
rnacentral:rRNA from 1 species